rnacentral:rRNA from 1 species
GACGAACGCUGGCGGCGUGCUUAACACAUGCAAGUCGAACGGAAAGGCCCUGCUUUUGUGGGGUGCUCGAGUGGCGAACGGGUGAGUAACACGUGAGUAACCUGCCCUUGACUUUGGGAUAACUUCAGGAAACUGGGGCUAAUACCGGAUAGGAGCUCCUGCUGCAUGGUGGGGGUUGGAAAGUUUCGGCGGUUGGGGAUGGACUCGCGGCUUAUCAGCUUGUUGGUGGGGUAGUGGCUUACCAAGGCUUUGACGGGUAGCCGGCCUGAGAGGGUGACCGGCCACAUUGGGACUGAGAUACGGCCCAGACUCCUACGGGAGGCAGCAGUGGGGAAUAUUGCACAAUGGGCGGAAGCCUGAUGCGGCAACGCCGCGUUCGGGAUGACGGCCUUCGGGUUGUAAACCGCUUUCGCCUGUGACGAAGCGUGAGUGACGGUAAUGGGUAAAGAAGCACCGGCUAACUACGUG